rnacentral:rRNA from 1 species
GAGGAAUAUUGGUCAAUGGGCGAAAGCCUGAACCAGCCAUGCCGCGUGCAGGAUGAAUGCCCUAUGGGUUGUAAACUGCUUUUAUACGGGAAGAAACUCUCGAACGUGUUCGGGAUUGACGGUACCGUAAGAAUAAGGAUCGGCUAACUCCGUGCCAGCAGCCGCGGUAAUACGGAGGAUCCAAGCGUUAUCCGGAUUUAUUGGGUUUAAAGGGUGCGUAGGUGGAAUUAUAAGUCAGUGGUGAAAUACUGUAGCUUAACUACAGAACUGCCAUAGAUACUGUAAUUCUUGAGUGCAGUUGAGGUAGGCGGAAUGUGUCUUGUAGCGGUGAAAUGCUUAGAUAUGACACAGAACACCGAUUGCGUAGGCAGCUUACUAAACUGUAACUGACACUGGGGCACGAAAGCGUGGGGAUCAAAC